rnacentral:rRNA from 1 species
UAUUAGGCUUUCGGGGGAUACUGCCAGACUUGGAACCGGGAGAGGUAAGAGGUACUACAGGGGUAGGAGUGAAAUCUUGUAAUCCCUGUGGGACCACCUGUGGCGAAAGCGUCUUACCAGAACGGGUUCGACGGUGAGGGACGAAAGCUGGGGGCACGAACCGGAUUAGAUACCCGGGUAGUCCCAGCCGUAAACGAUGCUCGCUAGGUGUCAGGCAUGGCGCGACCGUGUCUGGUGCCGCAGGGAAGCCGUGAAGCGAGCCACCUGGGAAGUACGGCCGCAAGGCUGAAACUUAAAGGAAUUGGCGGGGGAGCACAACAACGGGUGGAGCCUGCGGUUUAAUUGGACUCAACGCCGGACAACUCACCGGGGGCGACAGCAAUAUGUAGGCCAAGCUGAAGACUUUGCCUGAAUCGCUGAGAAGUGGUGCAUGG